CACCGUUUUGGUCCUAUACCUCCUGUUACUUUUAGCUACAUUUACACAUGCUAGCCUCCACGCCCCAGUGCCAUUGCCCAAAAUCCUACUCCCUAGGCUAGGAGCAGAUAUCAGGCACGCCCUGCGCAGCCCAAAACAUCUAGUUCCACCACACCCCCACGGGACCCAGCAGUGAUAAAUAUUAAGCAAUAAGCACCCGCUUGACUUAAUGACAGCCAAACAGAGCCGGUAAAUUUCGUGCCAGCCACCGCGGUUAUACGAAAGGCUCAAAAUAACCACCUCCGGCGUAAAACGUGACUAGAGAUCACACCCAACUAGAGGUCUAAAAACACAAUUUAGCCGUAAAACGCACCUAUAUAUGAGAACCCCCACUAAGACCUCAAACCCCGGUAUCCUUGAAUGCACGAAAGCCAAGAAACAAACUAGGAUUAGAUACCCUACUAUGCUCGGCCCUAAACCCAGGCUGCACUUACACCCUCAGCCCGCCAGAAAACUACAGGUGAAAGCCUGAAACUCAAAGGACUUGACGGUGUCCCACAUCUCCCUAGAGGAGCCUGUCCUAUAAUCGAUACUCCACGUUAUACCUCACCCACCCUUGCACAUCAGCCUAUAUACCGCCGUCGUCAGCCUACCUCAUGAGAGCUAAAUCGUAGACAAAACAGUCCAACCACUAAUACGUCAGGUCAAGGUGUAGCCAAUGGGUGGGAAGAGAUGGGCUACAUUUUCUAAAUUAGAAAACCACCACAAGUAGUAUGAAACACCUAGCAGAAGGCGGAUUUAGCAGUAAACCUGAUAACGAAUUAUCACCUUGAAACUUGCUCUGGGACGCGUACACACCGCCCGUCACCCUCCUCACCACACUAAUUAAUUACCUAAGCACCCAAACAAUAUCAAGAUGAGGCAAGUCGUAACACGGUAAGCGCACUGGAAAGUGUGCUUGGAGUAU
rnacentral:rRNA from 1 species